rnacentral:rRNA from 1 species
AGAGUUUGAUCAUGGCUCAGGAUGAACGCUGGCGGCGUGCCUAAUACAUGCAAGUCGAACGAGGUGCUUUGUAGCAAUACGAGAGUAUCCUAGUGGCGAACGGGUGAGUAACGCGUUGGUGACCUACCCCAAAGUGUGGGAUAACAGUCCGAAAGGAUUGCUAAUACCGCAUGUGGUCUUCGGGUUUAGAAACUGAUGACUAAAGGAGCAAUUCGCUUUGGGAGGGACCUGCGUCCCAUCAGCUAGUUGGUGAGGUAAUGGCUCACCAAGGCUACGACGGGUAGGGGACCUGAGAGGGUGACCCCCCACAAUGGAACUGAAACACGGUCCAUACACCUACGGGUGGCAGCAGUAGGGAAUAUUGCACAAUGGGCGAAAGCCUGAUGCAGCAACGCCGCGUGUGCGAUGAAGGCCUUCGGGUCGUAAAGCACUUUUCUGGGAGAUGAGCAAGGACAGUAUCUCAGGAAUAAGUCUCGGCUAACUACGUG